rnacentral:rRNA from 1 species
AUUGAACGCUGGCGGCAGGCCUAACACAUGCAAGUCGAACGAGUGGCGGACGGGUGAGUAAUGUCUAGGAAACUGCCUGAUGGAGGGGGGUAACUACUGGAAACGGUAGCUAAUACCGCAUACCAUGCGAUGUGCCCAGAUGGUAUUAGCUAGUAGGUGGGGUAACGGCUCACCUAGGCGACGAUCCCUAGCUGGUCUGAGAGGAUGACCAGCAACAGUGGAACUGAGAUACGGUGCAGACUCCUACGGGAGGCAGCAUUGGUAAACAUUGCACAAGGGGCGCAAGCCGGAAUCAGCCAUGCCGCGUGUAUGAAUAAGGCCUUCGGGUUGUAAAGUACUUUAAGCGGGGAGGCGUUACCCACAGAAGAAGCACCGGCUAACUCCGUGCCAGCAGCCGCGGUAAUAC